rnacentral:lncRNA from 1 species
GACAGGGUUUUACUCUAUCACCCAGGCUGGAGUACAGAGGCACCAUCUCAGCUUACUGCAGCCUUGACCUCUCAGGCUCAACAGAUCCUCCCACUUCAGCCUCCUGACUAGCUGGGGCUACAGGCGCGCGCCACCACAUCCGGCACUGGGGAAGAAGCAUUUCUAACAGGAGCCUGCAUGCUGAGGAUGGCAGAGGAAAAAGACAGAGCCAUACUGAGCCCUUGGAGAUGCCACUGAGGAGCUACGCUAACCAAUCCUGGAGGCACCAUAACCUAGGACUUCUUCUUAUACAAGGAUGCUAGAGAGCAGUCUUCAGCCUGAGACCCAUCUCUAGAGUCUUAAUACCUUUAUUUUAUGCUAUUGACAGCUUCUAACAACUCAGUAUACUCCUAUGAACAAAAUUUGGAGCAUAUUUGUUUCUCUCUACCUGAUUUCUUCAGACUGUGGAAACUAUUUGAAUCAAACUUGACUUAUGGAUCCAAUAAAGCCCUUGGAAAAACUGGCCUCAUAUUUUGUGUAAACAGUCCCCGUACAGGGUUUCUGACUUGUGGACAUGAGACUUCACAGCCUGCUAAAAAUAAGCUUUUGGGACCUACCCAUUUAGGAAUAAACAGUCCUAGCCUUGAGAGAUCAGAUGAAAUCUGAGGCCAGAGACUCAUUUUCUUCUAAAAUGCUUUCUCCAAAAGAUUUUUAAAUAGAAAAGAGGGGAAAUGUGAAAGGAAAAUGUCUUCAGCCCCUUCAAGCUGGGAACUCUCAGUACAAAUCUGUCUCUCAUUCUAUUCAAAGUCAUUUCUCUGCUCAGAGAUAGAUGCAUAUUCUGAUUGCCUUCUUUGGAAAGACUUACCAGAAACUCAAAAGAAUGCAACCAUCUGUCUCUCACCUACCUGUGACCUGGAAGCCCAUAGGGUAAAGGGGGCUUGCUUUGAGUUGUCUCUACUUUUCUGAAUGGAAUGAAUGUACUUCUUACAUUUAUUGAUUGAUGUCUCAUGUUUCCCUAAAAUGUAUAAAACCAAUCUGUGCCCCGGCCACCCUGGGCAUGUGUUGUCAGGACUUCCUAAGGCUAUGUCACAGGUGCAUCCUCAACUUUGGCAAAUAAACUUUCUAAAUUAACUGAGACCUCUCUCAGAUUUUCUGGGUUCACUAUUCCUACUUGGAAAAUUGUCGAUAU